rnacentral:SRP_RNA from 1 species
CCGUGCUAAGCGGGGAGCUGGCGGUUCCCUGUACCCGCAAUCCGCCAUAGCGGGGCCGAAUGCCGCCCGAGGCCUGCGAGUCCGCCCGUGCGCUUAGCCGGUAAGUGGUGAUGAAGGUUGGGUCCCAUGCAACGGGACUGUGUGAACCUGGUCAGGUCCGGAAGGAAGCAGCCAUAAGCACAGCGCCCGUGUGCCGUGGGGGUGCCUGACCGGAGCCAACUGCCGGUGAUGCCCCGGCGGGCCGGGUCGACGGCGGCUGCACGG